CAGCUCCUGUAUCUUGUAGUCUUUGGACUGGAGGAUCUCCAACACUUUCCUGUCCUUGAUCUCAGCUUUGUGCUUCUCACUAGAAGAAAGAGAAAAAGAAAAGCAAAUAAAUGUGUGUCCACAGUCAUCUACAAGACUUGAGGCUAUAGGGGAGACAAAAACAAGGCAUCAAGUGGGGACCUGUUUGUUUCAACUGCUUUAGGCCACCAGGGGCCACCCAUUCCCUCCACUCAUCACUUGCUCCUUCUACACCUCCCAUCUGCGAGGCCUUUUCUCUCGUCUCUUCGCCUCUUCUGAUCAGCCCUCUCCCCUGGCAGACACUGAAAUAAGUAUUUGGUGUCCCUGGAGGAGCUGGAACGCAGGCUGGCCCAGCUACAUCUCCUUGUACAUUGGGCUGUGUUCACCAUGUCCUGAGCAACCAACCAAUCACUCUACAAGAUCCACACAGGAAGGGGAGGGGAGGCUGGAUGGCGGAUCCCAGUGGGCACCAGCGCUUGACUGGAGUCGACACAAUUACCAUGUCAAUAUCCUCCUGCGCAUCAGGUGAUACAAUACACAUGCACUCUCUGGGUGCAUGUUCCCCCUCGAGUCUCAGCGGACCAACAUACUUUGAUGGGUUUCCUAUGGGGCUAUAAAGGAACUGAAGAGGGUGUGGAGAAGGAAUGAGAGGCACAGGUACUGAGGAACUCUCUGCACAUUGCUGCACUGUGUUUUACCCCUAUUAAGGGUCUACUAACAACUGACAGACCUCAAGAUGUACAUGAUAUGCAACCAUGAUAGAGAAAAUAUCAUUCUAAGGUAUCCUCAAAGGGAAAAAGUCAGUAAAACUAGUCCAAGUAUAGAGUGCUACAGGAAUGAGUCCUAAAACACGGUUAUGAGUUCGCAUUUUAGCACUUCCAGUUCCCAGUUUUUAAUUAGAUGCCUGAAAUAAGAUCUGUGAUUAUUUUACAAAAGGUGUAUCAUAAACAUGUGUUUGCCACAGAGCUAAUUUUCUGCAAUAAUCUAAAACCCAAUGGAAAAAUCCUAUUGGCAUUUUGUAGAGGGAAACCGUGCGAUUCUAACUUCCAGGUUGG